rnacentral:rRNA from 1 species
AGAGUUUGAUCCUGGCUCAGAGCGAACGCUGGCGGCAGGCCUAACACAUGCAAGUCGAGCGGCCGUAGCAAUACGGCAGCGGCAGACGGGAGAGUAACACGUGGGAACGCGCCCUUCGGUUCGGGAUAACUCAGGGAAACUUGGGCUAAUACCGGAUACGCCCUUACGGGGAAAGAUUUAUUGCCGAAGGAACGGCCCGCGUCCGAUUAGCUUGUUGGUGAGGUAACGGCUCACCAAGGCGACGAUCGGUAGCUGGUCUGAGAGGACGACCAGCCUCACUGGGACUGAGACACGGCCCAGACUCCUACGGGAGGCAGCAGUGGGGAAUUUUGACA